CCACAUUGAGGAGACGCAUGCGCAGUUAAUGUCGGCACCUCGAGAGAGCGUAACUUGCCGCAGUUUGUUUGUUUAUUUAUUUAUUGCGUUUGUAUACAGCCGAAGCUCUCUGCAGUUGUUCUGCAGCGCCUCCACAAGACCACGAGAAGAAUUGCAUGGUAUUGCAAAAAGAAGGCUCAAGGAAAGUGGUAAUACUGGGUUUAAAAAAGACUUUGGAUUGCUUUCAUUGGUUUCCUGAAUUCUGAAGAAUUUUGAGAAGGGAGGAAGUGAAAAUUUCACACCAGGAUAUACAAGGAUCUGAUGAGCUGGAGGUUGGACACGUCACUGCAAGCAUCCUGUCCAGCAACAUCUGGAGGGACAAAGGUUCACCAACAUCUGGAAGGACAAAGGUUUCCCACACCUGAUUGGCCCAGCAAACAUAUUUCACAGGUCUUCUUGAGCUGAGCCUUUAAGUGGCUUGAAAGUGGAGAUCUUGCUGCACUGCUCGUCAUCUUCUGGAUACAAGUGACGACUGUUGGAAACUGAAUGCUGGAUCCAACAAGACCAUUCAGUUAGAAGAUCUUCUUUCUCCUGUGCGCUGUACCUGUGGGACCAUAACAACCAUGCACUGGCUUUUCAUGUGAACCGGUUCUUUGGUGCACAUAAUUCCAGUCAUAAAUAUUUUUGCAGUCCCUCAGAUUGCCCCCUCCACCCCCAAACUGGGGGCAUCAUGUCACAGGAAAUGAGCGAAAAGAGAGCAAACUCUCCAGGCACCAAGGGAAGAAUAAUGUAAUGCUUCCCUCAGAUCAAUGUGGAUUUUGGUUUGCGAGUUAUUAGGCCAGGAUCAUAAACAACCUC